rnacentral:sRNA from 1 species
GUUAAGGAGAAUUCAGUGAUCAUCAAGGUUGAUUCAGCUUAAUCAUCUGGUUAGGUCAAUGUCCAUUUCCUCCAUAUCCACUGCAUGUGUGUCUCUCCUGAAGUUACAUGCAAAGUCAAAGAUGAUAGCCUUCGCUGAUAAGUGCCUUCUUCAGUCAAGAGCAUAAAAAUAGUGAUAUUUUCAUUUACAAAAGUCAUAUCACUCCCUAGCUGUACCAGCUCUCAAACUA